AUCAACUAAAUAAUUACAAAAAGAGUAUAAUUAGGACUCAUAUUACAAAAAUAGUACAAUUCACAUUAAUAAAGAAACCUAAAAUCAAGGAUAACUAAUAAUUCAAAUCUUGUCUCUAACAACAAUUUCAAAUCCAUAUUUCAAAAUUCAAAUCAAAAUGAGAAAAUUAAAAAUAAAAAAUUAUGAAGGAGCUAAUGUUCAUCAUCCUCCUCUCUCGCCGUCACCGCUGCCGCAGCCACAUCGCCGCCGCCGCCGCCACCGGAGUUGCUAUUCUGAAUUUCUUUUGACGAUUUGUGUAAGACCCCAAAUUAUUAAUAAAUGAAAUUUAUUUUUCUCUAUUUAUUAUUUUAAAAUAGUAAGGGUUGAUUUGAUUAAUGUGGAUAGUAUGGGUAAAAUACGCAAAUAUUUCGAAUAAGCAAAUGGUUAUAAAAUAUUCAUUAUUGUCGGGGAAUAUUCGUUUGGUCGUGGAAUAUUCGCCAUUUUUGGACACAAUCAACUAAAAUCAUCAAAUUAGCAUUUCAAAUUUUUCCAGAAUUUUUGAAGGUUCAGAAAAAUUUCGAAAAUGAAAAACAUAAUAACCCUUACAUAUUAACGACAAUAUCCCUUACCUCAAAAGAGCAGUAUUUCUGACUAGAAUAACGUUGAACGAACUUGCACCGUAUAGCAACACUCAAGAUAUAAGAAUACACUUGAUAAUAUAGAGAGAGAAAUAGAGAGAAAACUUU
rnacentral:lncRNA from 1 species